rnacentral:rRNA from 1 species
UAAUUUAAAGUCUAGCCUGCCCAAUGAUAAUUGAAUGGCCGCGGUAUUUUGACCGUGCUAAGGUAGCAUAAUCAAUAGUUUUUUAAUUGAAAGCUGGAAUGAAGGGUUGGAUAAAAAAAUAACUGUUUCUAUUUAAUUUAAUUAGAAUUUUAUAUUUAAGUUAAAAAGCUUAAAUUUUGUUAAAAGACGAGAAGACCCUAUAGAGUUUAAUAAAUAAUUAUAUUAUUAUAUUUAGAAUUAAUUUUAUUAAUUAUAUUAUUUAUUUAAUUGGGGUGAUUAAAAAAUUCAAAUAACUUUUUUUAUAUUAUAACAUUUAUAGGUGAAUAUUUGAUCCAUGGUUAAUGAUUAAAAGAUAAAAUUACCUUAGGGAUAACAGCGUUAUUUUUUUUUAGAGUUCAAAUCGAAAGAAAAGAUUGCGACCUCGAUGUUGGAUUAAAAUAAAUUUUUGGUGUAGAAGCUAAAAUAUUAGGUCUGUUCGACCUUUAAAAUUUUACAU